CUAAAUACUACCCAGUGACCGAUAGCGUAUAGUACUGUGAAGGAAAGGUGAAAAGCACCCCGGGAGGGGAGUGAAAAAGAACCUGAAACCCUGUGCCUACAAGCACCUAGAGCACGUCAAUGUGUGAUAGGGUACUUUUUGUAGAACGGUCCGGCGAGCGAUUGUAUGCAGCAAGGUUAAGGACUUAAGGUCUGGAGCCGAAGCGAAAGCGAGUUUGAAAAGGGCGUUAAGUUGCAUAUAAUGGGCCCGAAACCGGGUGACCUACCCAUGGUCAGGUUGAAGUGGAAGUAAAAUUCCAUGGAGGACCGAACCGACCUCCGUUGAAAAGGCGGCGGAUGAACUGUGGGUAGCGGAGAAAUUCCAAUCGAACCCGGAGAUAGCUGGUUCUCCCCGAAAUAGUUUUAGGACUAGCCUCAAGUUAGAUACCUGGAGGUAAAGCACUGAAUAGCCUAGCGGCCGAGAGGUUAGCGAAGCUUAUCAAACUCAGAAUGCCAGAGUAUUGAUGCUUGGGAGUCAGACAGUGUCAGAUAAAUGUCAUUGUCAAAAGGGAAACAGCCCAGAUCUACAGCUAAGGUCCCAAAGUCAGGUUAAGUGGAAAACGAUGUGAAGAUACGCAGACAACCAGGAUGUUGGCUCAGAAGCAGCCACUCAUUCAAAGAGUGCGUAAUAGCUCACUGGUCGAGCGUCUUUGCGCGGAGAAUUUAACGGGGCUAAACCUGACACCGAAGCUUAGGCAAUCCAGUAAUGGAUUGGGUAGGGGAGCGUUGUAUACGCGGAGAAACAGUAGCGUAAGCGGCUGUGGAGUGUAUAGAAGUGAGAAUGCCGGAAUGAGUAGCGCGAAUGCAGUGAGAAUCUGCAUGGCCGAAAGCCUCAGGUUUUUGGAGGAAGGUUCGUCCGCUCCAAGUUAGUCGGGAGCUAAGGUGAGGCCGGAAGGCGUAGCCGAUGCACAGACGGUAGAGAUUCCGUCACCACCAAAAGAGUUAAGCACAGGGACACAUUUGAAGUCUCAGAGCCGGGUGUUGGUUCCGGUAGAGAUCGAGGGAAGUUAGUACCGAAGUCUGGGAUGGAAGAUGGCGAGAAAAGCUGUGUGUAUUUCUGAGGUGCCCGUACCGCAAACCGACACAGGUAGGUAGGAAGAAGAUUCUAAGGCCAACGGGAGAAGGGUUGUUAAGGAACUCGGCAAAUUGACCCCGUAACUUCGGGAGAAGGGGUGCUCCAGAGAUGGAGCCGCAGAGAAUCGGCCCAAGCAACUGUUUACCAAAAACACAGGUUUGUGCUAAAUCGAAAGAUGACGUAUACGAGCUGACGCCUGCCCGGUGCUGGAAGGUUAAGAGGAGAUGUGCAAGCAUUGAAUCGAAGCCCCAGUGAACGGCGGCCGUAACUAUAACGGUCCUAAGGUAGCGAAAUUCCUUGUCAGGUAAGUUCUGACCCGCAUGAAAGGCGUAAUGAUUUGGGCACUGUCUCAACAGCCCGCCCGGCGAAAUUGUAGU
rnacentral:rRNA from 1 species